GAUGAACGCUGGCGGCGUGCCUAAUACAUGCAAGUCGAGCGAACAGACGAGGAGCUUGCUCCUCUGACGUUAGCGGCGGACGGGUGAGUAACACGUGGAUAACCUACCUAUAAGACUGGGAUAACUUCGGGAAACCGGAGCUAAUACCGGAUAAUAUAUUGAACCGCAUGGUUCAAUAGUGAAAGACGGUUUUGCUGUCACUUAUAGAUGGAUCCGCGCCGCAUUAGCUAGUUGGUAAGGUAACGGCUUACCAAGGCAACGAUGCGUAGCCGACCUGAGAGGGUGGUCCGCGAAAAAGCAACUGAGACACGGUAUGAGCUCCAAGCUGAGGCAGCCGCAGGGAGUCUGUCACAAUGGGAGAAAGCCUGAAAGAGCAUAAACGCAGAGUAAAUGAAGGGCUUAGGAUCAUAAAACUCUGUAAUUAGGGAAGAACAAAUGUGUAAGUACCUAUGACCGUCUUGCCGCUGCCUAAGAAGAAACCCAGGGCUACCUACAUG
rnacentral:rRNA from 1 species